rnacentral:rRNA from 1 species
AAUAAAUAAAUAAAUAAAAGUGUUAAAGUAUUAAAUGAUAUAUCAUUAAAUUUAUAAGAUUUGGCGGUAUUCCAUUCAAUUUAGGGGAACUUGUCGAGUAAUUGAUGAUCCACGAUAAGAUUUACUUAAUUUAAUAUUUAUGUAUUGCUGUUUUUAGAUAUGCUGUAAAAGUAUAGUUAAGAUUUAUAAUGUAUAAUAAUAAAAUAAUUCAAGUCAAAAUAUAGUUUAAUUAAGGAUUGGAUGAGUUACAAUAGAUUUAAAUUAUGGAUUUUUAAAUUUAAUAUUUAAGAUGAAAUUGGACUUAAAAGUAAAAUUAAUAAAUUAAUUAAUUUGAAAUAUGUUUUGGGAUAUGU